rnacentral:misc_RNA from 1 species
GUCACCGCUACCGUGACGGUCUUCUUUCAUUAAAAUACUCAUUUCCACACAGAACAAAAUUAUUAGAAAAAAAAAAAAACUGAUAAUGAAACACAUCCAUAUUUCUUCCCGCCGAUACAAAAAUUUACCAGCAAACAAGCAAUGCCGGUUCAAAUGGCUAUGAGAGGAUCAGACCCAAAUAAAUCCCCGAUAUCUUGGAAAUGGUCUUCCACAUUCCAGUUUGAGAAUCCAAAACCGAAAUCCCCAAUGGAGUCCACAAGCAUGUCCUCGAAAUCGUCUUUUAGAAAUCCGUCUAGCAUACUCGUUUCGUUGAAUAUGUCCCGCAUGGAACUCUGAAAGUCAAAAUUAUCGUUGGGAAACAAAGUGUUGAUGGAAGAAUACUCUGAGAACUCCAAGAAAUUCUCCGAUACGCUCGAUUCUUCUUUGGUUUCUCGGGCUUCUUUGCUGGAAAGGCCGCUUUGAGAUUCGGCUUCUUCGUUGGAGGAAGUUGAGGAUGGAAACCUAAGAACUGAAGUUGGAGAGCAGAUAAUGUUGUUGAUAUGAGACUCAUCGCCGGAGUUGUAGCCUGAGCUAACUGUCGGCUUUAUUGGCGGCGAACAUUUCGCUGGAGGGGUAACAAAGUUUGUGAGCGCGUGUGGUCCACGCAACUGGAUAGCCGCGUUGUCAUAUACCAUGGCAGCUUCUUCAGCAGUGUCGUACGUACCCAACCACAACCGUACACGUCGCAGAGGAUCCCUGAUCUCCGCCGCCCAUUUUCCCCAAGGUCUCUGUCUCACACCUCUGAACCUCCUGCCUGUUCCAGGGGCUGCAACCUUUAGCGGCCGCAGACUUACCGGACCACCGCUCGAUUUUCCAGCAGAACACUUUCGAUUGCCACUCCUCGAUGACCUGCUUCUCCAUGUAGCAUCGUUUUCGCUUGAACAUGACUCUAUUGUAAUCUCGUUAACAAAUUUCUUCAUUCUCUGUCGCCUAUGGACCUCACCUUCUUCGUCACUGGAGGAGUCAGUAGCGUCUGCAUCUGUUACUGAUAUCCGCACAACUCUAGGUGGUUUGGCCUCCGGGGCCGGAUUUGACAAUGGCCUUACAAGUUUGGUGUGAUUUCGGUGCUCACUGAACUUGACUGGAUUCAUUGACAUCACACUAUCUCGAUCCAUUUCGAAGGGUUUUUCGUUCUCUUUUCCUUUUGAGGUUUUGGGUUCUUUCAGAUUCGCAUUCAAAGUGAAGUGAACGUUGGGGAGAGGGAGCAGGAGAGCGUGAAAUAUAAGGGAGAAAAGAAAAGGGAGGAGAUUCCUUUGAGACCGGACACGAGGGAGAAUAAAGAAACAGAGACAGAGGAUAUAAUGAAAGUUGAGAGAAACACAACGUCAAAGAGAAGCUUGAAACGGAGAGGAUUGAAUACUCUCUCUAUCUCUCUCAAAAAGUGUCAUUAAAGGACGAGAAAUUUCAAGGAAAGUAGAACUAAAAAAGAGAGUGUCUGUGCCUAUGUGAGAGAUGUGAAAAUGUUAAACUAGACUGAAGUAACCCAAACUGAGUAAAGAUUAAAGAAAAGUACGGAAAGCAGACACGGAGACAUGGAGAGUAAAUGAGAGAGUGAACAAGAACCGGUAGUAAUACAAAGCAAAAGUA